AAUAAAGUGCCUGAUUAAAGGAUUAUUCUGAUAGGAUAAAUUAAGUAAUAUAAAUUACCUUUAUUA
rnacentral:tRNA from 4 species